UACGGAGGGGGCUAGCGUUGUUCGGAAUUACUGGGCGUAAAGCGCACGUAGGCGGCUUUGUAAGUUAGAGGUGAAAGCCCGGGGCUCAACUCCGGAACUGCCUUUAAGACUGCAUCGCUUGAAUUGUGGAGAGGUAAGUGGAAUUCCGAGUGUAGAGGUGAAAUUCGUAGAUAUUCGGAAGAACACCAGUGGCGAAGGCGACUUACUGGACAAAUAUUGACGCUGAGGUGCGAAAGCGUGGGGAGCAAACAGG
rnacentral:rRNA from 1 species